AAGGCUCCAUCAAUAGUCAACGCUUUCAUCCACACCUUCAUCGGAAAAAGUAAAAUCCUGACCCAAAAUGGACGCUUCCGGCGCCGUCAAGUCACCGAAAAAUGAAAAGGUAGAACCACAUUCUAGUUCACUAACCUCAGCAUCAGCCACAUCAUCAAUUACUGAACAAGAAUCCCUCAAAUUGACGGGAGAACAAAGAACCUCAAAGCGGCCGAGAAUGGGUUGGACGCCGCACCUUCACAAAAAAUUCAUAGAUGUGGUUGCCUGCUUGGGUAUUCAAAACGCGACACCGAUGACAAUUAUGGAGCUAAUGGAUGUGGCUGGGUUGUCCCAUGAAUGUGUGGCGAGUCAUUUGAAGAGAUACAGGCAUUAUUUGCGUAGCAUGCGAAAGGAUGAUGAUCCUCCUCCUACUACCCUCCAACUAUUCGAUAAAAUGCCUCAAUGUUUGGCCGGAACCCACCAAGUAUUUGAUGAAAUGCCUUCUGAUGGGAUGAUCGUGGGUGACGCCUUAUCUUAUUGUGCUUUGUUUCCUCCUGAUCAUGAUUUUGAAAAAAAAUACGCUGAUUCAGUUAUGGAUGGCUGAUGGACUUGUUCUUCACAAGCCAAUGGAGAGAAUUGCUGGCCUUUUUUUUGAUUGUUGUCUGAACAAGGGUUACUUUCAGUUCUCCAGAACAAAUGUGUUGACUGGAAAUGCAUUGUACAAAUUCAAGGGAGAUGACCAUGUGCCAAGUCAUAUGGUUAGGAUAGAAGGCAAUUCCAACUUAAACAAUGUAUCUCCAGAAGUCUCUCAUGUGUCUAUAAGGUGUGACACUCUGAAAGAUUAUACUGGUUUGAAAAGAUUAGAGCGGCUAAGAACGCUAAUGUUUCUCCAAGGCCAUAACAUUAGCUUCAAACAAGUCCCACGCGAUCUGUUUUUGUUAUUGAGGCAGCUCCGGGUUUUGGAUUUGAGUCGGACAUGUAUCUUGGAGCUGCCAAGCUCUAUAGGGAAUAUGAAAUGUUUAUGUUAUCUAGACCUUUCAGAGAAUCCCAUCAAACAUUUGCCUGAAUCAAUGAGCUGCCUUGAAAAUUUACAGACCCUGAAACUCAAAGGUUGUUUGAAGCUCUGUGCCUUGCCUAAAGGUAUGAGAAAGAUGACCAGCUUACGCCAUCUUGAUUUUGAUGUCCUUCACCAAAUUCGCUCAAUGCCCCAAGGGAUGGGGGCUUUAACUGACAUCAGAACUCUAUCAGCUUUUCUUGUUGGUGUGGAAGAAGGGUGCAGUAUAAGACAGUUAAAGAACAUGAAUAACCUCUCAGGAAGCUUUUGCAUCUCCAGGCUUGAAAAUGUAUUGACAAAGGAUGAGGCUGAGGAGGCUUGUUUGUCCGACAAGUCAGAGCUGAAAAAACUGGAGUUGCAUUGGAGUGAUACACAAUAUGAAGAUAUCCUAGGUUAUGGAGAGGUUCUCUAUUCUCUUCAGCCACAUACAAGCCUAGAAGAGUUACUCAUAAGUUGUUAUGGUGGUUUUGAACUGCCUAGUUGGAUCUGUAAUCUAGCAUUCUCUGAACUUGUUAGUGUCAGCCUCUUUGAGUGUGAAAACUGUUUAGUCCUACCAUCACUCGGUCAACUACCUUCAUUGAAAUUCCUAAAUAUAACUGACUUCCACAAACUAGAGUUGAUUGAUUAUGAUUUCUAUGGAGGUUUAGGCAUUUCAGGGUACAUUGCCUUCCCUAAGUUAGAGAACUUGACUCUUGAAAACAUGUCUAAUUUAGAAGAAUGGUUGGCAUACGGGAGUUUUGACUUCCCUCGCCUCAUUAAGCUCACAAUUAAGCAUUGUCCCAAACUCUACAGUCUACGCACACUAUCAUGCCUUUCUUCCCUUGAAAAUUUGGAAAUUAGUCAUUGCACGAUGCUUGCUUCUUGUCUUGAUGGAAAACUACCUGCUGGGGUGGAAACUUUCAUCGUUGAGGAGUGCCCCUUGAUAACUGCAAAGUUCUUGAAGGAUGGAACUCAGGAUUGGAUGAAGGUUGCACAUAUUCCGCAUGUAUGGAUUGAUCAUCAGGAGAUGGCGUUUGGUCAAAGAUCUUCAUAGACAUCUGUUUUUUUUUUCUUGGAUGUAUGUUCCUCCCAGAGUAAUUUCAUCUUGGCAGGGACAUGAAGAAAAUAAAUGAAUGGUUUGGCUUCCUUCUCAUUUCACAAAAGAGGAAAAUACUCUGAUUUUGUGGCUGCAUUUUUUUUAUUUGCAUUGAAGCCUGAGUAUCUGUUAAACCUGCAUCAAGUUUUAUUAGUUGCUUGCUCUAGCAACUGUCAUGUAGAGGAAGAUGUGCUGGAAUCAGACGCUUACAUCACCUGCAAGACACCGGAAAAGGACCAAGUUGAAACUUCAGAAGAUAGUAAGAGAUUUUAGUAUUUGCAAAUCUUAUUCUAGUACACUCACUUCAAUAUCAGGAGUGUCACGAGCUUCUAAACAAGGUUCCCUGGAACUCAAGGUGGCCAAAAUGAUUUUUUUGCUGUUGAAUUGUAUGGAGAAAAGAGGAAAAGGAGGGGGCAUCUGAGACAGAGAACGACCAGAACCAGCAUUUUCUGAAGUAUUUGAGAACCUUACACAUAAUUUAUGUUUUUUUUAUUUGUGCACAUAAUAAUCUAUUGAUUUUAGCCCUUAUGUGAGGCAAAUGAUCUAAAUAGUAUUUGGGUUCCUUAAAAGAUGUGGUUUUAUUGUCUUGUAACAUUAUUAUUACCUGUUUCACUAUUGACUAGGAUUGUAUGAUCCUAGAGUUCCAUUCUA